GAACGCACAUUGCACCCUCUGGUAUUCCGGAGGGUAUGCCUGUUUGAGUGUCAUUAAUAUGUCAACACAGGCAAGUUUGUCAAGACUUGCUCUGCUGUUUGGAUGUUGAAGGCUUGCUGGCAUUGACUUGUUCUGUCAGCUCCUUUUAAAUUCAUUAGCAGGAACCUUGCAGGACUGGCUUCAGUUUGAUAAGAUUGAACUGUUGUUAGAAUGCGCUUUUGCUGUUCCGGCUUCUAAUUGUCUGGUAAAACUGGACUGUCUCGCUCUGAGACAUUUACAUUUGACAACUUGGCCUCAAAUCAGGUAGGACUACCCGCUGAACUUA
rnacentral:misc_RNA from 1 species